rnacentral:tRNA from 1 species
GAGGGUAUAGCUCAGUGGUAGAGUGCCUGCCUGACAUGCAUGAGGUCCUGGGUUCAAUCCCCAGUACUUCCA